AUAUUUUGUUAAUAAAUAGAAACUGAUCAUGGAGACAUAAAAGAGCUUCAAAUACUUUGUCAGUCAAAAAAGCUCAUUCGUUUGUCCUCAGCAUUGAUUAUUGCUUAUUAAGAGGAUGCAUCCAGGGGCCUUGUUUAAGUCUUGUAGUGCUUUUUCUAAUCCUAAUGCUUCAUUUUACAAGCAGCAUGAGUUCUGAUACUGUUCAACUCUUUUUGAUGUUUCCUUUUUGUUUCAGUCAUGGCAAUCUAUUUCUUUUUGAUCGUUGGGAGUCUACAGAGCAUGGACUAUGCAGAGCAUGUUUCUCCAUUUCAAGCCAUCUCAUAAGAAACCAGAAGGUUUAUGAGUGUGUUUCAGAUGAAAUCUAAGCCUCCUGUGGAGGAAGAAAAAAAAUCACCUGACAGAUGUAGACUGUUCCUUUCCUGCAGAAAUACAGCAAUUUCCUCAAAUGCAAGUAAAAAUGGAACAAGCAUCCUUGAGCUUUUCUGAAGCUUAUCUUUAAUUUCAGAACCUUGGUGAUUGCUCCUGUGUUUUUAGAAUAUCUACAAAGCCUCAUUACAGGUUGGUUGAGUGUCUAGCUGGUUAUUCCUAUGUUUUCCUCAUCCUCACGAAGGAAGCCUGAUCAAAUUCGGAUCAAAUAUGUAAAUCCACUGUUAACAACAGUGGUCAACAUGCAGAUUUGUUGAGCAUGAAUCCAAGUGGUGACUUCAGAAGCAUUACACUGUGUUGGUGUGAGUCAGAGCUUACCACUGAAAGAACCUCAGAUACAAAGAAGUUGGGGUUUAUUUUGUUAUUUUUUCUUAAGCAGGUUACAUUUUAUUCCUGUAUUAGCUGUUUUACUGCUUUGUUGUAUAUCUGAAGGUGUUUACAUAUAUUUGUAAUUGUUACGAUGUGUCUGUAAUCAAGCUCAUCUGUGCCUUCACGCAGAUUUCCAAUAAACACUUGAUUUUUUGUAUUUACUUGUAUAAAAGACUAUGGGGUGGAUGUAUAUUUCCUUCUGUCUGUCAGUUUGCCAUCACUGGGAAGAAGAGGAGGAAGAUGAGAUCUAGGAAUCAGAGAAAAAUGUGUGCUUUUCUUUAUUUUUGCUGUCUUUAAGUCUAGUUGGGCUGUUGCUGGUAUUUUCACUUAAAUGGCAGAGUGGGGAGCCUGGGGAUUAUCGUAGUUGCAUAAUUAGGUUUGUAUAAGAGGUGUUUCUCACUUCAGAUUAGGUGACUAUUCAGAGUAUAAUCAUGCAUGCUUGUCUCUAUCAGUUUUGCUUCUGUCUUGGAAGAAUGUAGCUACAUUUUUUGAGCUGUCAUUGUGGGAAAAUUCCAGAGUAUCUUUCUCCCCCUGAAUGAAACAUGUAUGUUUAACCUUCUACAGCUGCCUUCCAGGGGGAGUUAGGGCUACAGCAAGAACUGCAGUAUCUUUUGGUCUUAGUAUGCUUGCUUACCUUGAGGGUACGUUCUGAUGAUUGGGGGGUAGAAGAUGAACAGUUUCUUCUUUUUUUUUCCAGUUUUUCUAAGCUCACAGGAACAGAGAUACAUAUUUGUGCAAAGUUACAGGAAAACCUAUGUGUUUGAGUCAGAAGCAGUAUGCAGCAGUACAGCUGCUUUUCUGAUCUGAUGUUAAAUAGGCAAUGAAGAGAAGGGAAAAAAUGCUUUCUUGCCUGUGUGCAUGCUGUAUAAUUUAGAAAAGAGUGCU
rnacentral:lncRNA from 1 species